AACCUCCGCAAUGUGAGAAAUCGCGACGGGGGGAUCCCGAGUGCCAUUCUUAACGGGAUGGCUUUUCAUUAGUGUAAAGAGCUUUUGGAAUAAGGGCUGGGCAAGACCGGUGCCAGCCGCCGCGGUAACACCGGCAGCUCUAGUGGUAGCAGUUUUUAUUGGGCCUAAAGCGUCCGUAGCCGGUUUAAUAAGUCUCUGGUGAAAUCCUGUAGCUUAACUGUGGGAAUUGCUGGAGAUACUAUUAGACUUGAGACCGGGAGAGGUUAGAGGUACUCCCAGGGUAGAGGUGAAAUUCUGUAAUCCUGGGAGGACCGCCUGUUGCGAAGGCGUCUAACUGGAACGGUUCUGACGGUGAGGGACGAAAGUUAGGGGCGCGAACCGGAUUAGAUACCCGGGUAGUCCUAACCGUAAACGAUGCGGACUUGGUGUUGGGGUGGCUUUGAGCUGCUCCAGUGCCGAAGGGAAGCUGUUAAGUCCGCCGCCUGGGAAGUACGGUCGCAAGACUGAAACUUAAAGGAAUU
rnacentral:rRNA from 1 species